GUGGGGAAUAUUGGACAAUGGGGGGAACCCUGAUCCAGCCAUGCCGCGUGUGUGAAGAAGGCCUUUUGGUUGUAAAGCACUUUAAGCGAGGAGGAGGCUACCGAGAUUAAUACUCUUGGAUAGUGGACGUUACUCGCAGAAUAAGCACCGGCUAACUCUGGGCCAGCAGCCGCGGUAAUACAGAGGGUGCAAGCGUUAAUCGGAUUUACUGGGCGUAAAGCGCGCGUAGGUGGACAAUUAAGUCAAAUGUGAAAUCCCCGAGCUUAAGUUGGGAAUUGCAUUCGAUACUGGUUGGCUAGAGUAUGGGAGAGGAUGGUAGAAUUCCAGGUGUAGCGGUGAAAUGCGUAGAGAUCUGGAGGAAUACCGAUGGCGAACGCAGCCAUCUGGCCUAAUACUGACACUGAGGUGCGAGAGCAUGGGGAGCAAACAGGAUUAGAUACCCUAGUAGUCC
rnacentral:rRNA from 1 species